rnacentral:rRNA from 1 species
CCUACGGGAGGCAGCAGUGGGGAAUUUUUCGCAAUGGGCGCAAGCCUGACGAAGCAACGCCGCGUGGAGGAUGAAGGUCUUCGGAUUGUAAACUCCUGUCGACCGGGACGAAUGCACCCGACCUAAUACGUCGGAAUGUUGACGGUACCGGUGGAGGAAGCCACGGCUAACUCUGUGCCAGCAGCCGCGGUAAUACAGAGGUGGCAAACGUUGUUCGGAAUUACUGGGCGCGAAGUUGGCGUAGUCGGCUGAAAGCCCUCGGCUUAACUGAGGAUCUGCACGGGAUACUGCCCGGCUAGAGUAUGGGAGAGGGAAGCGGAAUUUCCGGUGUAGCGGUGAAAUGCGUAGAUAUCGGAAGGAACACCAAUGGCGAAGGCAGCUUCCUGGCCCAAUACUGACGCUGAGGUGCGAAAGCGUGGGGAUCAAACAGGAUUAGAUACCCCAGUAGUC